GGCUGUGUGGAAGGGCCCUAAGGUUAGCCCUGUUUCUGGGUUUAUUUGACCCUCUGUUUCCAAAAACGGAGUCCAGUUCCCCCCCUCUCGGCUGAACUGGGUUAUCAGAGUCCACACUGCCAUAUAUUCCAGUUCAAAGCAGAUAAUGGGUUUUAUUCAGCUGCGUGGAAGGGGCCUAGAAGGGGCCUCACACAAUGCAGAUUGAACUGGAUAUAUGAGUCUACAGUGCUGUAUAAUCCACUUCAAUGCAGCCAGUCUGCAUUCUGAAACUGGAUUGUAUGGGAGUGUAGGUGGAGUUUUAGAAACUAGAGCUAAUGUGGUCUCCAAUGAAAAUUUCUGACUCAGCGCCCCAAAUAACCCCAGGAACAGGCCUCAAAACCAAGACAAAUAAAUUGUUGUUGUUGAUUGUAAGGCUGGAUCUACACUGGGGUCUACAGUGACCAUAUAGCUCAAACUGCAUCAUAUGCCUGGGUAGAUCCAGCCUAAGACUACAUCUCCCAGGAUUCUAUAGCAUUGAGUGAUGGCAGUUAAAGUGAUAUCAAACUGCAUCCAUUCUACAGUGCAGAAGUACCUCUCUGUGGACAGUUUGACAGAACAUUAGUUGCCAUGUGAUUCUGGGAGUUGUAGUUUGCUGAGGUUCCAGUUCUUUUUGGCAGAUGAUGUAAAACACUUUAUAAAACUACAACUCUCCUUCUCCUAUAGCACUGAGCCAUCGCAGUUACAGUAGUAUCCUUAAUCCUAUCCUGUGUAGAUGCACCAGCACUCUUUCUGUUUUUUGGAUUUAUUCCCAGAAUCUCCAAGCCAAAUCUUGAGGGUUCUAGAAGGUAUACCUCUAUGCUUCUUCUGUGCUUGCUGAAGUCUUUCUUUUCAAAACAAUUACUGUGAUUCCCACCCUCUCAACACCCCCUUAAAAAAAACCAGGAACAACUGCCGAAUCAAGGCUAAAAUAAUAUGAAACUCUGCAUGAAGGAUUGUGCCAUGCUGUGAAAGGGCUUUGUGCCCCAAAGGGGUUAAGGGGGGGGGGGGAGAGAAAAACAACCCCAAACUUCUGAACUUGUGGAAAAAUACGAUGUGUGACACUAACAAAAGUGUGCCAGAAGUUAAGACAUCCCUGAAGCUGUUUACUGGGAAUGGUGUUCUAAUUAUGGUGGUUUCCUUUCUCUCUUAAAGCCUCUGUAUUCAUUCCGAAUUAAGUUCUGUUGAAGUCCAAGCAACUUUCAUGUGAACCUGUCAGUAUUGAAGGGGAAUAAACCACCUACAGCGCCUGUCACUCUGAUCCAGUAUUUCCAAUGUUGUCACCUCUCAUCCUGCUACCAUUUUCCUGAUUAAAAACAUUAUGUUGCAAAGC